CCUACGGGAGGCAGCAGUCAGGAAUAUUGGUCAAUGGGCGCGAGCCUGAACCAGCCAAGUCGCGUGAAGGAUGACUGCCCUACGGGUUGUAAACUUCUUUUAUAAGGGAAUAAAGUGAGGCACGUGUGCCCUUUUGUAUGUACUUUAUGAAUAAGGAUCGGCUAACUCCGUGCCCGCAGCCGCGGUAAUACGGAGGAUCCGAGGCUUGUCCGGAUUUGUUGGGGUUAAAGGGAGCGUAGGUGGGUUGUUAAGUCAGUUGUGAAAGUUUGCGGCUCAACCGUAAAAUUGCAGUUGAUACUGGCAGCCUUGAGUACAGUAGAGGUAGGCGGAAUUCGUGGUGUAGCGGUGAAAUGCUUAGAUAUCACGAAGAACUCCGAUUGCGAAGGCAGCCUACUGGACUGCCACUGACACUGAGGCUCGAAAGUGUGGGUAUCAAACAGGAUUAGAUACCCUGGUAGUC
rnacentral:rRNA from 1 species